UCUCUAGGGAGAGAUGAAGCAGCUCUCCGGGUGGCGGACCUGUGCUCCUCCCAGGUGGCUCUGGAAACUUGAUGGAAGGGGCUUCCGGGCCUGGAGGCCUGGCUUAACGCUGGAGGGGCCGUGAGGGAUUCUGGGUAAUGGCGGACACCAGCAGUCCGCAGGGGAGAAUGGGCCCUGAGCCCGCUGUCCCCUCGGUCCCUCCAGGCCCUGCCCUGAACUAACCCCCCCCCCGUGUCCCGCUGUGAGCGCCCCCCUUCCCCGUCCUGACCCCCACGGGCUAUGUGGGUCUGGGCACGCAGCUCCCCAUCCUGUGGCCCACCCUGCAGUCCCCAGGCUGUGCUGCCGCCCCUGGGGACAUUCCCACAUGACGGUGGCCCGGCUGGCACAGCGAGGCUGGAGUUAUGGGGAGGAGGGGGCUGCGCGCUCGAGGCCUUCAUUUCCUGGAGCUUAAGACUUUCCUGUGCAGCUGCGGGAACUGUUCCCCCGGCUCCAACAGUCAGUUCCAGGGCAGUUCCGGGGCUCUCAUUGCCCCGCAGGGAUGCAGAGGGAGGCCCUGAAGGAGGGGGACCUCGAGGGCGGCCGGGGCUGUCCCCCGGGGGGACAGGCUCCGGGAGAUGCCCAGGGUUCUCCCUCCCCCAAGUCUUGGCUUAUAAUACCUUUUGCAAAGGGGGGGCGGGGACUGGUGCUCGAUCAUUCAUUCAUUCAUCAAACGCCAGUGUCCACUGCAAGCAGGGGUCAGAAACGCACUGGGCCACUCCCUCAGGCGUUCAGCAGACUGUUAAAAUCGUCCUUCUGCCUGCCACAGCGAGGUCCAGCCAGUCAUUAGAAGACGGCACAGCUUUUCUGGCUCUGCGCUUACUCUUCCCACAAAUAUUUACCAAGCUGCCCUGAUGCUGGCCCUGUGCUGGGCCCUGGGGACGUGGCGAUAAACAGAGCCCGGGCCCCUGUGGAGCUGGCCUUCUGGGGCGGGGGUGGGGGACAGACCACGGCGGGGCAAAUCUGCAACAUGGUGUCAGGGCGUGGUGGGCACCAGGAGAAGACCACGGCAGGAUGGUGGAAGGGCCGCCAGGUCCUCCCUCGGGCCUGUUGGCCAGGUGCCCUGGCUGCCUGCCAGCUCUCGGCCACUCUGGGCAGCCGCCAGCCUGCCGCAGACUCUGGGCCUCCUUCUCCCCCGCCCCCUGUUUCAGCUGCUCUUCCUGCCCCCAGGAUUGUGAGCCAAAAUAAACUUCUUUAUACAUGACCCAGCCCCAGGAAUCCCGUUACAGCACCAGAAAACCAACCGAGACAAAGUCAGGGGUGGCUGCUCAGGGAAGGGCUUUGCUAUCAAGAUGACGUUUGAACAGAGAUCUGAAGUGAGGGCCGGAGCCGGCAGCUGUGCAUUAGCAGCAUUCCAGACAGAGGGACAGCAAAUGCAAAGGCCCUGAG